rnacentral:rRNA from 1 species
GAUGAACGCUGGCGGCGUGCCCCAAACAUGCAAGUCGAGCGGGGCUAUGUAAUAUCGCAAGGUAGAACAUAGCCUAGCGGCGAACGGGUGAGUAACACGUGGGUAACCUGCCUGGAAGACAGGGAUAACGAUUCGAAAGGGUCGCUAAUACCUGAUAAUAUCCUUUCAUCGCAUGGUGAUAGGAAGAAAGGGGAAACCCGCUUUCAGAUGGGCCCGCGUCCCAUCAGCUAGUUGGUAAGGUAAAGGCUUACCAAGGCGACGACGGGUAGCCGGUCUGAGAGGAUGUACGGCCACACUGGGACUGAGAUACGGCCCAGACUCCUACGGGAGGCAGCAGUUGGGAAUCUUAGGCAAUGGACGAAAGUCUGACCUAGCGACGCCGCGUGAGGGAAGAAGGCCUUCGGGUUGUAAACCUCUGUCAUGGGGAAGAAGUAAGUGACGGUACCCAACGAGGAAGCCCCUGCUAACUACGUG